AUUAAACGGCACUGGUGUGCUUUUGAAUCCACUUUUGAAUCACUGCAGUACACAGUCUUUUUUAUCUUUUCACACUAAGUUGUUCACAAAAAGGACUGAACAGCUGCGCAGGAACACAAAGCGCAAAACUGAGUGAACAUGAACAACUCGUCCAAAGCGUAGAUAUUAAUGCGCAUGUGCAAGAUUUUCUAGACGCGUCUGGAAAAUUACCUCAGUAAAAUGUUAUAUAUCUACCGACGUCGCUAUAUGGACUAUUUUGUUUUAUUUUUUUAGAAGUGGAAGUCAUACAGUACGGGUUUGGAACAACAUAAAGGGUUCAGGAAGAGGUACCGGGGGCAAAUGAAGGGCAGAUGAGCAUGUAUGCGGCGGAGACUUGUCAUGUUUUCAUUACCUUGACAGAUGAUCCGUUGUCUCCUGAAUUGUUUGCAGCUUUGAAAGCCAGUCGCUGAUUUUUUUGAACACUGAUCAGCUGAUGACAAAAUGGAAGAAGAUCGUUCCUCAGCGAAGUGCGCAAAAACUCGCCGUCCAACCUGCGGAAGGAUAUUGAGUGAACGUGCAUAAAACAGGAAAUGACAUCAGAGGCCCCCUGCAGACCCUCAUGUAACAAGGUCAGUAAGUCUUUUAACAUUUCAGAAAAUAUGAGAAGGUAGGGUUCGUUCUGUUGUAAAAUGUCAUGUGGUGUGACUCUUCAAAAAUGUAAUAAUUAUGAAUUAAUAAUUCACAAUUUUAUAAAAAAAAAUACCUUUUACCUAGAAAAAAAAUAAUUAAAAACAUUUUUGAAAAUGAUUAAGUACAUUCACAAAAAAUUAUACUUGUAAUAAAAAUGCAAUAAUUAUGAAUGAAUAAUUC